UAAACUAUUGUUGACUUUCUUAUGUAUUAAACCUAUGCCAUUCAACUGGAUAUCGCUUACAAUAGGAGAUAUUCCAAAAUAUGCAUUAUUAUGAAUUAAAGAUUUUAUCCUACUAGGUAUAGCUUCUAUAACAGUCACAUUCCUUGCUUGAAACUUCAAAGUUGUCUUUCCAUAAAUUCUCUCCGCGUAAAUAGAUUCCCACUAAUACUAACUAAUUGGCUGACAAGGACAAUGUUUUUCGAGAACUAGUUAUGCGACCCAGGAAAUACACUUGUUGUAAUAAGAAGUGAGUGAAAGGUCAAGUAAUUUAAAAGGACAGCUUGCAAGUUUCUGGCAAGUCAUCCAGGUCCUGAGGCAACAAAGCAUCCACAAACUGUCACACUACCACCACCAUGCUUGAUCGUUGGUAUGAGGUUCUUGCUGUGGAAUGUCACCGGUCUUCUAGCCAUCGUCGAUCCACUUUUCAUUUUCCAUUUGUUUUGUCUUGUUUUCUCUUUACCUGGUUCUCAUUUCCCUCAUUAAGUGUUGUGUAUUUAACCCUCUGUUCCACCCAUGUCUUUGUGUGGAGUUGUUUGUUGUAAGUGCUUGUGCACAUGUUUACUGGUGUGCGUCGAGUUUUGUACCCAUGUUGGUUAUUUCUUUAUGCCGUUGGUUUUGAAAUUAAACUGCUCCGGCUAUUACCUAGUUCUGCUCUCCUGCGUCUGACUUCACUGCCACC
rnacentral:lncRNA from 1 species